GGUUAAGCGAAUAAGCGUACACGGUGGAUGCCUAGGCAAUCAGAGGCGAUGAAGGACGUGCUAAUCUGCGAAAAGCGUCGGUAAGGUGAUAUGAACCGUUAUACCCGACGAUAUCCGAAUGGGGAAACCCAGUAUCCAAUGGAUACUAUCAUUAACUGAAUCCAUAGGUUAAUGAGGCGAACCGGGAGAACUGAAACAUCUCAGUACCCCGAGGAAAAGAAAUCAACCGAGAUUCCCCUAGUAGCGGCGAGCGAACGGGGAGCAGCCCAGAGUCUUAAUCAAUAGCAGUGUCAGGAGAACGGUCUGGAAAGUCCGGCAGUAAAGGGUGAUAGCCCCGUAUCUGAAGAUGCUGUUAUUGUGAACUCGACGAGUAGGGCGGGACACGUGUUAUCCUGUCUGAAUAUGGGGGGACCAUCCUCCAAGGCUAAAUACUCCUGAUUGACCGAUAGUGAACCAGUACCGUGAGGGAAAGGCGAAAAGAACCCCGGCGAGGGGAGUGAAAAAGAACCUGAAACCGUGUACGUACAAGCAGUAGGAGCCUCUUUAUGGGGUGACUGCGUACCUUUUGUAUAAUGGGUCAGCGACUUAUAUUCUGUAGCAAGGUUAACCGUAUAGGGGAGCCGUAGGGAAACCGAGUCUUAACUGGGCGAAUGAGUUGCAGGGUAUAGACCCGAAACCCGGUGAUCUAUCCAUGGGCAGGUUGAAGGUUGGGUAACACUAACUGGAGGACCGAACCGACUAAUGUUGAAAAAUUAGCGGAUGACUUGUGGAUGGGGGUGAAAGGCCAAUCAAACCGGGAGAUAGCUGGUUCUCCCCGAAAGCUAUUUAGGUAGCGCCUCGUGAACUCAUCUUCGGGGGUAGAGCACUGUUUCGACUAGGGGGUCAUCCCGACUUACCAACUCGAUGCAAACUGCGAAUACCGAAGAAUGUUAUCACGGGAGACACACGGCGGGUGCUAACGUCCGUCGUGAAGAGGGAAACAACCCAGACCGCCAGCUAAGGUCCCAAAGUCAUGGUUAAGUGGGAAACGAAGUGGGAAGGCUCAGACAGCCAGGAUGUUGGCUUAGAAGCAGCCAUCAUUUAAAGAAAGCGUAAUAGCUCACUGGUCGAGUCGGCCCGCGCGGAAGAUGUAACGGGGCUAAACCAUGCACCGAAGCUGCGGCAGCGACACAAAGUGUUGUUGGGUAGGGGAGCGUUCUGUAAGCCUGCGAAGGUGUACUGUGAGGUAUGCUGGAGGUAUCAGAAGUGCGAAUGCUGACAUAAGUAACGAUAAUGCGGGUGAAAAACCCGCACGCCGGAAGACCAAGGGUUCCUGUCCAACGUUAAUCGGGGCAGGGUGAGUCGACCCCUAAGGCGAGGCUGAAAAGCGUAGUCGAUGGGAAACGGGUUAAUAUUCCCGUACUGGUGGUAACUGCGAUGGGGGAACGGAGAAGGCUAGGUUGUCCGGGCGACGGUCGUCCCGGUUCAAGCAGGUAGGCAGAGUGAUUAGGCAAAUCCGGUCACUUAAUGCUGAGAUGUGAUGACGAACCACCAAGGUGGUGAAGCAAUUGAUGCCCCGCUUCCAGGAAAAGCCUCUAAGCUUCAGGUUACCAACAAUCGUACCCCAAACCGACACAGGUGGUCAGGUAGAGAAUACUCAGGCGCUUGAGAGAACUCGGGUGAAGGAACUAGGCAAAAUGGUGCCGUAACUUCGGGAGAAGGCACGCUGGCGGUAGGUAAAGUCCCUCGCGGACGGCGCUGAAGCCAGUCGAAGAUACCAGCUGGCUGCAACUGUUUAUUAAAAACACAGCACUGUGCAAACACGAAAGUGGACGUAUACGGUGUGACGCCUGCCCGGUGCUGGAAGGUUAAUUGAUGGGGUCAGCCGUAAGGCGAAGCUCCUGAUCGAAGCCCCAGUAAACGGCGGCCGUAACUAUAACGGUCCUAAGGUAGCGAAAUUCCUUGUCGGGUAAGUUCCGACCUGCACGAAUGGCGUAAUGAUGGCCAGGCUGUCUCCACCCGAGACUCAGUGAAAUUGAACUCGCUGUGAAGAUGCAGUGUACCCGCGGCAAGACGGAAAGACCCCGUGAACCUUUACUAUAGCUUGACACUGAACAUUGAGCCUUGAUGUGUAGGAUAGGUGGGAGGCUUUGAAGUGUGGACGCCAGUCUGCAUGGAGCCAACCUUGAAAUACCACCCUUUAACGUUUGAUGUUCUAACCUAGGCCCAUAAACUGGGUCGGGGACCGUGUCUGGUGGGUAGUUUGACUGGGGCGGUCUCCUCCUAAAGAGUAACGGAGGAGCACGAAGGUUGGCUAAGCAUGGUCGGACAUCAUGCGGUUAGUGCAAAGGCAUAAGCCAGCUUGACUGCGAGAGUGACGGCUCGAGCAGGUACGAAAGUAGGUCUUAGUGAUCCGGUGGUUCUGAAUGGAAGGGCCAUCGCUCAACGGAUAAAAGGUACUCCGGGGAUAACAGGCUGAUACCGCCCAAGAGUUCAUAUCGACGGCGGUGUUUGGCACCUCGAUGUCGGCUCAUCACAUCCUGGGGCUGAAGUAGGUCCCAAGGGUAUGGCUGUUCGCCAUUUAAAGUGGUACGCGAGCUGGGUUUAGAACGUCGUGAGACAGUUCGGUCCCUAUCUGCCGUGGGCGUUGGAAGAUUGAGAGGGGUUGCUCCUAGUACGAGAGGACCGGAGUGAACGCACCACUGGUGUUCGGGUUGUCAUGCCAAUGGCAUUGCCCGGUAGCUAAGUGCGGAAGAGAUAACCGCUGAAAGCAUCUAAGCGGGAAACUUGCCUCGAGAUGAGUCUUCCCUGUCACUUUAAGUGACCUAAAGGAACGUUUAAGACUAAGACGUUGAUAGGCUGGGUGUGUAAGCGUAGCGAUACGUUGAGCUAACCAGUACUAAUGAACCGUGAGGCUUAACCUG
rnacentral:rRNA from 1 species